CGAAAUUUUCAAAACCUAAAAUCGUCGUCUCGCCGUCGUCUUCUUCCCUCGUCUCAGGUAUCUUUAGUGCCCUAAUCUGCUUCUUCAUCUUCCAUUCACUUAUCUCAGGUGUAAUUUCUGCCCUAAUCUGUCUCUUUAUCGUCUGCCCUAGUCUGGUCUGUGUCUUUCGUCUAAACAAGAAGGGCAGCUUCCCAAUAUCAAAAAGGAGGCCGAGAUAUGAAACAUGCCAACUACAAAGACAACAAACUGAGUGUUUGAUCACUUCGUUACAGAGCGGCGAAACAAGAACCUUAACCGUAAACCCUCCCCUGUCUCCCAUUCUCGAUUCAGUUGGAUUCUACAUAGAGAGAAAGAGAAGCAUCAACAAUGUCGGGAUUCUCCUUCACAAAUUCUUCAACCCCAUCAUCAUCAUCAUCAUCAUCAUCAUCUCCAUUUUCUUUCGCAUCAUCUUCAUCUCCAUCGCCCUUCUCAUCCUCCUCAAACCCUAGCACAUUCCCUUCACUCUUUAGCUCAUCUGCAGCUUCGGCUCCUGCAUUUGGAGCGCCUUCGUCAUCUGCAUUUGGUGUGUCUUUUUCAUCUGGAGCUUCUACUACUACAUUUGUAGCGCCUUCGUCAUCUGCAUCAACUCCUUUGUUUGGAUUUGCAUCGUCUUCAUCCUCCACAACGUCUUCCGCUGCUCCAUCACCCUUUUCUGGUUUCGGUGCUUCCUCCUCUGUGGCAACAGGUCCUAGUUUGUUCGGGUCCAGUUCCAAUUCUGGUGGCACUGCUACAAGUUUAUUCAGUUCAUUUUCUACCAGUUCAGCCACUGCUAGCAGUAGCAGUUCUGCGCCUUUUGCUUCCAUUUUCUCGGCUGGUUCAUCGGCAAGCCCGACUCCUAGCUUCUCCUUCGCUAAUGUAACAGCCUCGUCUGGGCUUCAAUCUUCUUCUGGUUUGUCAUCGAAUCUAAAAGCAGCUUCUACUACAGCAACUACAACGACUACCACCAGUGCCUCCACUUCUGCUGCUGCAACGGGCUCUAGUGGAUCUGGUUUGUUUGGGUCCAGCUUCAAUUCUGGUGCUACUGCUGGCACCGGUACAAGUUUAUUCAGUUCGUUUUCUACCAGUUCAGCCUUUGGGAAAUCCACAGCCACUAUCAGUAGUAGCAGUUCUGCUCCUUCUACUACCGUUUUAUCUGCUGGUUCAUCUCAAAGCCCAACUACUAGCUUCUCAUUUGCGAAUGUACCAGCAUCUACUACAGCAACUACAACUACAACCACUAGUGCCUCCACUUCUGCUGGCAAGACUCCAUCGUUCCCUGCAUUUGGUGUAACAUCUUCGUCUAGUUCUGCGGCUUCAACAACUACUGGAUCUGUGCCAAGUUUCUCAAGCCUCACUACUACUGCUGCAUCUACUGGAACAUCAAGUUCUUUUUUGGGGUUUCAAACGUCAUCGAAAACUGUAGGGGCUCUUACCCCGUCAUCACAACCGCAAUCCACAGCUGCCUCAUCUUUGUUUGGUGUCCCUGCUUCAAAUACAACUACAACCACAACUACAUCAACUAUUAUAACCACUGUUGCUCAAACAUCAUCCUCGCUGCUUGUAUCUUCCAGUAGUGGGACAUCUGCAAGUGUCAGCACAGCUGUAGCCUCUGCACCAAAAUUACCAUCUGAAAUUACUGGAAAGACUGUUGAGGAGAUCAUCAAGGAGUGGAAUGUGGAGCUCCAGGAGCGAACUGGAAAGUUCAGGAAGCAAGCCAAUGCAAUAGCUGAGUGGGACAGGAGAAUCUUGCAGAACAGGGAUGUCCUUCUUAAACUUGAGGCAGAAGUUGCAAAAGUUGUUGAGACCCAAUCAAACCUUGAGCGACAGCUGGAGCUGAUCGAGACUCAUCAACAGGAGGUUGACAAGUCAUUACAAAGUGUGGAAGAAGAAGCUGAGCGAAUAUACAAAGAUGAGCAUGGUUUACUUCUUGAUGAUGAAGCAGCUUCAACUAGAGAUGCAAUGUAUGAGCAGGCUGAAUUCAUUGAAAGAGAAAUGGACCAGAUGACGGAACAAAUAAAAUCUGUUAUUCAGACUCUUAACGCCAAUCAGGCCGGAGAACUCGAAGUAACUGAUGGCAUGACUCCACUAGAUGUUGUAGUGCGCAUCCUUAACAACCAACUUAGUUCAUUAAUGUGGAUCGAUGAAAAGGCUGAAGAAUUCUCUUCACGCAUUCAGAAACUGGCUAAGCAAGGUUUUGUUGCUGAUCGAGAACUGAUGGGCCCCAAGUUCUGGCUGUCCCGAUAAGUGUUUUAUCCUCUUGUGGUCGUAUAAAGUUGUGGAGUUAAUCUCUAGUAACAAUAACCGGAAUAUCUGGCCUUCACAAGACUUGCUCUACAUGAUCAGAAAUGUGUUUUUGUGUCUUCAAGAAAUGUCUAAGUAUGAUUUAAUAGUUUCUGUUUUUUACAAUGAAAUUUGUUUAUGUUUUUUACAAGAAAUUUAGUUCUGUUUCUUGUGGGAAAUUUAAACAUUUGAUUUUGCUGAAUACUAAGUUCAGAAUUAUAUU